AUCACGCUGUUCUCAGCUGAAUUGUCAGCGAGCAGUCUGCUGGUGGAUCACUCCCUACAUUUCAUUUGAUUUUUAAUGUAUAAUGCAGGUACUUUUUGGGUUGGUUGCAUAAUGCAUGUUAUUUAUUAUUGUACUGUUUAAAGGCCUGUCAGGACCAAGAAACUGUGGAAAGAACACAAAACGUGGAGGGAAGGUGGCAUAACUGUGUAUGUAUUCGAGAAAACUACAUUCUGUCUUCCUGCAAUCACACGGGGAGAGAGAUUGACAGAUGGAGAGGACGGCUCCAUAAGAAUGAUGUGGUCCAGCCAGCCCUUUAAACUUGAUGGAUGAAAGAGGCAUCACAAACAUCUGCA